CAUAAUAAUUUUUGACUUUUUUCAUUCAGAAAUUUUUUAAAAUCAUUGAGCAGGUCAAGAAGUUUUAAUCACUGAAAUAAGAAAUAUUUUAGAAAAUGGAAAUAGGAAAUGUAGAUAGGUGUUUAAAUAAUAAAAACUUCAUUAAUUUCAUUAAGUACAUAGUAAUCUCAAUAUAUUUAGGAAAUUUACAAUUUUAUACUGGGCCACAGGUUGGACAGCCUUGGUCUAGAACCUGUGACAUAACUCUGGAGUAUGUCUGUAUAUGCUACUUUUCUUCUUAUUGGUACUAAGCAGUUAGGCAUCCCAAUACUCACUAUGAUAACAGUGAGCAGCCAGUGUGAGGAUCACAUUAGUUGCACUGUUCAUAUGAGUGUGAAGGAUGGAUAUUUAAAAAAUUUGAAAAUUAGACCCAGAAUUAUAUACAAAUAUUCCAUAGUGGUAACACAGCACACUUCCAUCCUUGUGAACAUUUGGCCAUCAGUAUUGCAAAAUCAUUGAAACUUGGACUAUUAUAAGUUGGAGACCAAUUGUAUUAGGUAAACAUUUUAAGAGGAAAAGAAGGGUAAAGAAAAUCUCAUGAUUUCUUAAGUGGGGGAUGGGGAAUUACCAAAAUGGUUAUGCAAGGUCUUUAAAAUUUUUCCAUUUUAAAAUUUAUCACAUUGGAACUAUUUGUAUGAUAUGCUUAUACUAUGUACAAAUUUUCUAUAUACAUUUUAGUCCUCAACUUACAAUAUUCCAAUCUUACAAAUGCCCUUAUGAUAUUCUGAACUUGGCUAUUUUCAUAGCAUAAUGAUUAGAAAUGUUUGUUUAUUAAAAA
rnacentral:lncRNA from 1 species